UACGUAGGGUGCAAGCGUUGUCCGGAAUUAUUGGGCGUAAAGGGCUCGUAGGCGGUCCAUCACGUCGGGAGUGAAAAGCUGGGGCUUAACCCCAGUCCUGCUUCCGAUACGGGUGGACUAGAGGUAGGUAGGGGAGAACGGAAUUCCUGGUGUAGCGGUGAAAUGCGCAGAUAUCAGGAGGAACACCGAUGGCGAAGGCAGGUCUCUGGGCCGAUACUGACGCUGAGGAGCGAAAGCGUGGGGAGCGAACAGG
rnacentral:rRNA from 1 species